AACGAACGCUGGCGGCGUGGCUAAGACAUGCAAGUCAAACGGUACCGAUUAUUUAUAAUCGGGAUAGUGGCGAAAGGGUUAGUAAUAGAUAGGUAACGUACCCUGUGCUUCGGAAUAGCGUCAUUCGCCUUCGGGCGAAUUUCCGAAAGGGACGGUAAUACCGAAAAUAUCAGUUGUCGAUGGGCAACUGAUCAAAGAUUUAUCGGCAUUGGAGCGGCCUAUCUCCUAUCAGCUUGUUGGUGAGGUAACGGCUCACCAAGGCAGCGACGGGUAGCGGGACUGAGAGGUUGGCCCGCAACAUCGGGACUGAGACACUGCCCGGACCUCCACGGAGGGCUGCAGUAACGAAUCUUGCGCAAUGGGCGAAAGCCUGACGCAGCGACGCCGCGUGCGGGAGGAAGUCCCUCGGGAUGUAAACCGCUGUCAGGGGUAAGAAAGUCCGCUUCGGCGGAUUGAUCUAACCCAAAGGAAGUCACGGCUAACUUCGUGCCAGCAGCCGCGGUAAGACGAAGGUGGCGAGCGUUGUUCGGUGUUACUGGGCUUAAAGCGUGUGUAGGCGGGUUGGUUAGCGUCUUGUGAAAUCCCUCGGCUUAACCGAGGAAUGGCUGGGCGAACUGCCAACCUUGAGGCAGGUAGGGGCGCAUGGAACUCUUGGUGGAGCGGUGGAAUGCGUAGAUAUCAAGAGGAACGCCGAUGGAGAAAUCAGUGCGCUGGGCCUGUCCUGACGCUGAUACACGAAAGCGUGGGGAGCGAACGGGAUUAGAUACCCCGGUAGUCCACGCUGUAAACGAUGUCUACUAGGUCGUGGAGGUUCUGACACCUGCACGGCCGAAGCAAAAGUGUUAAGUAGACCGCCUGGGGAGACGGUCGCAAGGCU
rnacentral:rRNA from 1 species